GAUGAACGCUAGCGACAGGCCUAACACAUGCAAGUCGAGGGGCAGCACAAGGUAGCAAUACUGAGGUGGCGACCGGCGCACGGGUGAGUAACGCGUAUGCAACCUGCCUGUAACAGGGGAAUAGCCUCUUGAAAGAGAGAUUAAUGCCGCAUAAUACGAUAUUCGGGCAUCCGGGUAUUUUUAAACAUUUAUGGGUUACAGAUGGGCAUGCGUUUCAUUAGGUAGUUGGUGAGGUAACGGCUCACCAAGCCGACGAUGAAUAGGGGUUCUGAGAGGAAGGUCCCCCACACUGGUACUGAGACACGGACCAGACUCCUACGGGAGGCAGCAGUGAGGAAUAUUGGUCAAUGGACGCAAGUCUGAACCAGCCAAGUCGCGUGAAGGAUGAAGGUAUUAUGUAUUGUAAACUUCUUUUGUCAGGGAAUAAUGGGUGUCACGUGUGACGCAGAGGAAUGUACCUGACGAAUAAGCAUCGGCUAACUCCGUGCCAGCAGCCGCGGUAAUACGGAGGAUGCGAGCGUUAUCCGGAUUUAUUGGGUUUAAAGGGUGCGUAGGCGGUUUGUUAAGUCAGUGGUGAAAGUUUGNGGCUCAACCGUAAAAUUGCCAUUGAAACUGGC
rnacentral:rRNA from 1 species